rnacentral:rRNA from 1 species
GUAGGGAAUAUUGCGCAAUGGACGAAAGUCUGACGCAGCGACGCCGCGUGAGUGAUGAAGGCCUUAGGGUCGUAAAGCUCUGUUGAAUGGGAAGAAAAAAAUGACGGUACCAUUCGAGGAAGGACCGGCUAACUUCGUGCCAGCAGCCGCGGUAAUACGAGGGGUCCUAGCGUUGUUCGGAAUCAUUGGGCGUAAAGGGUGUGUAGGUGGCCAUGUAAGUCAGGUGUGAAAGCCCCGGGCUCAACCCGGGAAGUGCACUUGAUACUGCGUGGCUUGAGGACCGAAGGAGGUAGUAGAAUUCCAGGUGUAGUGGUGAAAUACGUAGAUAUCUGGAGGAACACCGGUGGCGAAGGCGGCUACCUGGUCGAGUACUGACACUGAGACACGAAAGCAUGGGGAUCAAACAGGAUUAGAAACCCGAGUAGUCC